GACGAACGCUGGCGGCGUGCUUAACACAUGCAAGUCGAACGGAAAGGCCCUGCUUUUGUGGGGUGCUCGAGUGGCGAACGGGUGAGUAACACGUGAGUAACCUGCCCUUGACUUUGGGAUAACUUCAGGAAACUGGGGCUAAUACCGGAUAGGAGCUCCUGCUGCAUGGUGGGGGUUGGAAAGUUUCGGCGGUUGGGGAUGGACUCGCGGCUUAUCAGCUUGUUGGUGGGUAGUGGCUACCAAGGCUUUGACGGGUAGCCGGCCUGAGAGGGUGACCGGCCACAUUGGGACUGAGAUACGGCCCAGACUCCUACGGGAGGCAGCAGUGGGGAAUAUUGCACAAUGGGCGGAAGCCUAAUGCAGCAACGCCGCGUGCGGGAUGACGGCCUUCGGGUUGUAAACCGCUUUCGCCUGUGACGAAGCGUGAGUGACGGUAAUGGGUAAAGAAGCACCGGCUAACUACGUG
rnacentral:rRNA from 1 species